CCCAUGAAGCUUCCAUGAAAACGAGAUAUGCAUUCUCAUGUAUAUGUGCAUUGCACAUCUGUUUACGUGAAUUAUUAUACAAUAUUAUAAUUCUCUAAUAUCUAGUUCUGCAAUUUGUGAAUUAAUAAAUUGACAUAAAUCCAUCGUUGUUUUACAGAAAAAUGAAUGCAAAUCUAAUUUUUAGAUCAGUGUAUCAAACAAUUAAUUCCAUGGUCCCAAAAAUUUUGACGAUUCCAACUACACAGAAUGUAUUGGCUCACAAAUUUCACUAUAUGUGCAGCAGAGAGAAAUCAAAUUCUCUGAGCGAUUUGUCAAAUCACAGUACACGUUUUCUGCAACCUGUACUGCCCAUGUAUAAUUCAGUAUGUGGUCUAAAAGUAAAGGGCCGCUUACAGUUACGUUGCAAGGACUGUUAUUAUUACUGUAAGAAUGAAAGAUGGUAUGUCCUGUGCAAUACCCAUCCUAGACAUAAACAAGUGCAGAUGAAAAAGAGAGAGUACAAAACGUGGCUACUAACAUGGGCUUCUCAGAGUAAAGUGCGAGGCUGGUAAACAGAUAUGUAGAUUUUAUCACGAAAAUGAAUUACUAAUAUGUAUAGCAAAUAAAAUAUGAACAUUUUUAAAUG